AUAAACAUUUUCCAAAUCCAGAGAGAGAGAGAGUCCGUACCACUCGGAACGAAUCAGCGGUGAAUAGAGGCAAGUGGCGACACAGACAUUAUCGGAUUCCGUGUGUAUUUAAUAUUAUAUAUAUUCAACCAUGAGCAUCACCAUUAUUUAUAGCACUCCUUCUAGUACCGCAGCUUUAAACUCCUCGUUUGUCUCUCUCCCAACUACUCUCACUUCCAUUUCUUAUAAGCUCCUUUCUUCUUCACCACCACAUCGUCCUUUUCGUCUUCGAACUACACUUCCACCUCCAAUUCUCUGCGCCUCUUCUUCUCUCUCUGUUUCAGACAUGGAUGCCACCGGAGGUCAAAGCCUCUACCCAUUGCACCGUACUAAAACUCUUCACCUGGUAAGGCAUGCCCAAGGGAUUCACAAUGUGGAAGGAGAAAAGGACCAUGAUGCAUACUUAUCAUAUGAUCUCUUUGACGCAAACAUUACCCCACUUGGCUGGAAACAGGUUGAUAAUUUGCGCAAGCAUGUUCAUGCGUGUGGACUUUCCAAAAGAAUUGAUCUAGUUGUCGUUUCCCCUUUGUUAAGGACCAUGCAAACAGCAGUUGGAGUCUUUGGUGGUGAAGCCUACACAGAUGGCAUAAAUGUACCUCCUCUAAUGGCGGCAAAUACAGGGAAAAGUGGCCGUCCUGCAAUGUCAAGUCUAAAUAGCCCACCAUUUGUAGCAGUAGAGCUUUGCCGAGAACAUUUGGGACUUCAUCCAUGUGAUAAGAGACGAAGCAUUACCGAAUAUCGCCCUCUCUUUCCUGCAGUUGAUUUUUCUCUGAUAGAAAAUGAUGAUGACAUCUUGUGGAUGCCUGACAUUAGAGAGCGGGAUGAAGAAGUUGCUGCUAGGGGACAGAAGUUUUUGAAAUGGUUGUGGACACGUAAAGAGAAGGAGAUUGCAAUUGUCAGCCACAGUGGAUUCUUGUUUCAUACCCUAAGUGCUUUUGGAAAUGAUUGUCAUCCAUCUGUGAAGAGUGAAAUAUGCACGCACUUUGCUAACUGUGAGCUUCGUUCGGUGGUGAUCAUUGAUAGGAGUAUGAUUGGGUCAGAUUCCUCAACAACUAACUAUCCUGGAAAAAUACCCAGUGGACUUGAUCUUCCCAGUGAUUAGCAUCAGAGAAGCAUCCAGAGGAAAAGGGUGCCUAACUAACUAUAGCCCAUGACAAUGAUCAAACUGAAAUAGACUAGAUACACAUAGUGUCCAUUUGGCAUGAUUAAUUUUGUCAACUUAUUUUAUUAUUUAUUUAUUUUUGUUACUAUUCACGGGUCUCA